AUAUUUCGACGAAAAAUCAAUGAAGACAAAUUCUAUGCUUGCGGAAAGCAUUUCAAGGAUGAAGUGAUUGAAAUAUUCCAUUCCAAAAAAAUAAUCAAGAAAAGACUGGCUUUUGGAGCUAUACCGACGCCUAACAUGCCAAAGAAGAGUCACGAAAUCGAACCAAUUCCAAGCAGACGUCCACUACCAGAUCGCCCACUUUGCUAUAACAGCAACACACUUAGUUAACGAAGA